AUUUCCCUUCCUUUACUUGAAUUUUCUUUGAAUUUUAGAUUUUUCGUUGUAUAAUACUUUUACUACAUUCUCCUAAUUCGAUUUUCUCCUCUCUUUUCUCGCUUGAGUUAUUUGGAUUGUUAUCGAAUUUGCGUCCUUUGUUCUUUCUUCCUCAGUUUCGGAAACUCUAUAUGGGUUUCGAAUCUUGGGUUUACGUCGUUGUUUAAGAUCGAUCGGGAGUUUUUGGAGGCGAUGAAACUUACGUGUUCGAUGAAUUGCCUGAAUGAAAUUCAAAUUUUGUUUCUUUACCAUUUGUGGCUGUAGAUUCAGUAGGAAGAUAUUGGAAAUGAAGCUUUCUCGGCUCAGUUUUUCCGGAACGAUGGAGUUCUGGGGAUUCUUUUUCGUGAUCUUCGGCUCGGUUUCAUUAUUCGGAUUUGUUUUUACUACGAUCUUGUCUAAGCUGCUUCCGAUCUCUGACAAUCCCGUAAUCCAAGCUAUACAAAGUGACAGGUAUUACUGCCUCUUGGUACCUCUCACUCUACCUGUCCUAAUGGUUGCUAUCUACUUUCAUUGGCUUAGCAUGAAGCUGUUCAAGCACGCUUGAUAUAAACGCGAUGUAAGUCGGUUCUCUCAUGGAUAUUUCUAGUUUCUAUAUCCGGGUGUCCAAACACGGGAAAGAGACCGAAGAUCUCUUUGAUGAUUAACCUGAAACAACACAUCACACUCUUGUUUUGGAGCCUGUGAAGGUGAGAUCUAAAGCGUCUAUGGUAUGAUGAUGGGCUCAACAACCAGAUCUGACCAGAGAAUUCAGAGUUCCAGUAUCCUCGAAACCAAAUCCCGUUCUCCUCGCAUGUGUCUGACCAAUUAUCCGAGGCAACAACUACAACUGGAUACUGCAGAUGGUUUAGAUGCUCGCAUGUAGGUUUUGUCCCAGCCUCCUUUCCCUUGUCUCCAUUCCAUGGAAAGUUUCAGUCUUUCAGAAAUCUUUGGCACUCUCAUUGAUGUUACAACUAAGUUCAGUUCGAUUUAGUUUAGUU